rnacentral:ncRNA from 1 species
CAAAAUAGAGGUGAGUUUUUGUUAAAAAUUUUAUUGGAGUUUCCUUCUUCUAAAAGUUUAAUUCUGGCCUAUAAUAUAGUUAAAUAAUUGUUGUAUAUAGAAUCUUAGUAUAAAAUAUAAAAUAUUUAGUACAAAGUAUUUUUUUAAAGUUAAACCAAAAAAGCAAUUAAAUGGUCAAUAAGGUGCCAGCAUUCGCGGUUAUACCUUUAUUUAAUAUAUUUAAAUUGGUAGAGAGCUUAUAUUAAAAAAAUAAAAAUCCAGGUGUAAAAUCUUACUAUUUUUAUAAAAACAAAAUAAUCUCAAAAAUUAACUAAUAAACAGGGAUUAGAUACCCCUUUAUAUAAAAUAACAAAAACCUAAGGUAGUAAUAGAUAUAGACUUCAAACCUAAAGAAUUUGGCGGCAAUUAACCUUUUCAGAGAGGUCUGUAGAUUAAUUUGACAAACCACAUUAUAUCUUUCUCUUUUUUAAUUUGUAUACCGUCAUCUAAAUCUUAUUAUAAAAUAAGUAUUUUCAAAGAAAUUAUAAUGUUAGAUCAACGCGCAGUGUAUAAAAGAGCUUUAUAUGGAUCUCAAUUUAAAAUAAAUAGAAAAAAAUAAAAUUAUAAUUGGAAAGAGGAUUUGAAAGUAAUAAGAUUUUAAAAUAAUCUUAUGAUUAAGCCAUUGAUUGUGUACAUAUCGCCCGUCGCUCUCGACCCGAGAUAAGUCGUAACAAAGUAGAAGUACUAGAAAGUGUUUCUUUAUUUUA